rnacentral:rRNA from 1 species
CCUACGGGGGGCAGCAGUGGGGAUUAUUGGACAAUGGGGGCAACCCUGAUCCAGCCAUGCCGCGUGUGUGAAGAAGGCCCUCGGGUUGUAAAGCACUUUCAGUGAGGAAGAACGCCUGGUGGUUAAUACCCAUCAGGAAAGACAUCACUCACAGAAGAAGCACCGGCUAACUCCGUGCCAGCAGCCGCGGUAAUACGGAGGGUGCGAGCGUUAAUCGGAAUUACUGGGCGUAAAGCGCGCGUAGGUGGCUUGAUAAGCCGGUUGUGAAAGCCCCGGGCUCAACCUGGGAACGGCAUCCGGAACUGUCAAGCUAGAGUGCAGGAGAGGAAGGUAGAAUUCCCGGUGUAGCGGUGAAAUGCGUAGAGAUCGGGAGGAAUACCAGUGGCGAAGGCGGCCUUCUGGACUGACACUGACACUGAGGUGCGAAAGCGUGGGUAGCAAACAGGAUUAGAUACCCGAGUAGUC